rnacentral:rRNA from 1 species
CCUACGGGUGGCAGCAGUGAGGAAUAUUGGUCAAUGGUCGCGAGCCUGAACCAGCCAAGUAGCGUGAGGGAUGACGGCCCUGCGUGUUGUAAACCUCUUUUAUAAGGGAACAAAGACAGGCACGCGUGCCUGUUUGUGUGUACUUGAUGAAUAAGCAUCGGCUAACUCCGUGCCAGCAGCCGCGGUAAUACGGAGGAUCCGAGCGUUAUCCGGAUUUAUUGGGUUUAAAGGGUGCGGAGGUGGGUUGUUAAGUCAGUGGUGAAAGUUUGGGGCUCAACCGUAGAACUGCCAUUGAGAUUGGCAGCCUUGAGUAGAGGUGAGGUAGGCGGAAUGCGUGGUGUAGCGGUGAAAUGCUUAGAUAUCACGAAGAACUCCGAUUGCGAAGGCAGCUUACUAGCCUCACACUGACAUUGAUGCACGAAAGUGUGGGUAUCGAACAGGAUUAGAUACCCGAGUAGUC